AGAGUUUGAUCAUGGCUCAGGAUGAACGCUGGCGGCGUGCCUAACACAUGCAAGUCGAGCGAUUUACUUCGGUAAAGAGCGGCGGACGGGUGAGUAACGCGUGGGUAACCUGCCCUAUACACACGGAUAACAUACCGAAAGGUAUGCUAAUACGAGAUAAUAUAAGAGAUUCACAUGGAUUUCUUAUCAAAGCUGAGGCGGUAUAGGAUGGACCCGCGUCUGAUUAGCUAGUUGGUAAGGUAACGGCUUACCAAGGCGACGAUCAGUAGCCGACCUGAGAGGGUGAUCGGCCACAUUGGAACUGAGACACGGUCCAAACUCCUACGGGAGGCAGCAGUGGGGAAUAUUGCACAAUGGGCGAAAGCCUGAUGCAGCAACGCCGCGUGAGUGAUGAAGGCCUUCGGGUCGUAAAACUCUGUCCUCAAGGAAGAUAAUGACGGUACUUGAGGAGGAAGCCCCGGCUAACUACGUGCCAGCAGCCGCGGUAAUACGUAGGGGGCUAGCGUUAUCCGGAUUUACUGGGCGCAAAGGGUGCGUAGGUGGUCUCUUAAGUCAGGAGUGAAAGGCUACGGCUUAACCGUAGUAAGCUCUUGAAACUGGGAGACUUGAGUGCAGGAGAGGAAAGUGGAAUUCCUAGUGUAGCGGUGAAAUGCGUAGAUAUUAGGAGGAACACCAGUAGCGAAGGCGGCUUUCUGGACUGUAACUGACACUGAGGCACGGAAGCGUGGGGAGCAAACAGGAUUAGAUACCCUGGUAGUCCACGCCGUAAACGAUGAGUACUAGGUGUCGGGGGUUACCCCCCUCGGUGCCGCAGCUAACGCAUUAAGUACUCCGCCUGGGGAGUACGCUCGCAAGAGUGAAACUCAAAGGAAUUGACGG
rnacentral:rRNA from 1 species